rnacentral:rRNA from 1 species
AUUGAACGCUGGCGGCAGGCUUAACACAUGCAAGUCGAGCGGGGGAAGGUAGCUUGCUACCGGACCUAGCGGCGGACGGGUGAGUAAUGCUUAGGAAUCUGCCUAUUAGUGGGGGACAACAUCUCGAAAGGGAUGCUAAUACCGCAUACGUCCUACGGGAGAAAGCAGGGGAUCUUCGGACCUUGCGCUAAUAGAUGAGCCUAAGUCGGAUUAGCUAGUUGGUGGGGUAAAGGCCUACCAAGGCGACGAUCUGUAGCGGGUCUGAGAGGAUGAUUCGCCACACUGGGACUGAGACACGGCCCAGACUCCUACGGGAGGCAGCAGUGGGGAAUAUUGGACAAUGGGGGGAACCCUGAUCCAGCCAUGCCGCGAGUGUGAAGAAGGCCUUAUGGUUGUAAAGCACUUUAAGCGAGGAGGAGGCUACUCUAGUUAAUACCUAGGGAUAGUGGACGUUACUCGCAGAAUAAGCACCGGCUAACUCUGUGCCAGCAGCCGCGGUAA